UACAGAGGGUGCGAGCGUUAAUCGGAAUUAUUGGGCGUAAAGCGCACGUAGGCGGUCCUCUAAGUCGGGUGUGAAAGCCCCAGGCUUAACCUGGGAAGUGCACUCGAAACUGGAGGGCUUGAGUACGGAAGAGGGUCUCGGAAUUCCCGGUGUAGAGGUGAAAUUCGUAGAUAUCGGGAGGAACACCAGUGGCGAAGGCGGAGACCUGGGCCGAUACUGACGCUGAGGAGCGAAAGCGUGGGGAGCGAACAGG
rnacentral:rRNA from 1 species